CUGGUAAUUUUGCGUGGUCACUUGCCAGCAGCACCAGAGGACCCAGAACAGCCUCACCAAUUAACAGCACAGCAGGAUUCAUUGCCCUGCUUUUAAGAAUCAUUAUAGAUUGAGGGCGAACAUGUGUUGAUGGUUAAUUUUAUUUACAAGAGAGCACGAAACAAUUAGCCUCUGAAAGUGUGCUAGCAAUAGUCUACAUACAGCUAGACUGGCUCUUGAAUUGGACUGGAGGAAGGAAGAGUGAUCUGGGCUUCCAGUGAUGUCUACCGAUCCCACGUCACUCCUCUCCCUAUCAGCCAGACUGAAGAGCUGACCAAACUCCAUCACGGACUCUCUCUGCACGGCUGAGUUAUGGUCAGCUUUGGGAGGGGAUGUGGGAGCCGGAGAAAGAUGGACAGACAGGAGCACCAAACAGUGGACUGCAGUAAAGCGCUGGGUUGGGCUCCACUGGCCGUUUAGCCUCCUGACAUCCAGCGUUGGGGUUUGAGAUGCAGAGGGCAGGGGCUGCUCCUCCUGGUGCUCCGGGGUCAGGUAAGGUAGCAUAGGGGUCUGCUCGGGGUCACACGGCCCCAGCAGGAGAGCCCGAGAGUGGGCAGAGUGUUUGCGGAUUAAGGACCUGAGGACCAGAACCAUCCACGUACCACCAAUUAAGACCGACUCUGGCCCGCUGAUGUGGGACACCACAGGGCCGGGUCUUGGGCCCCUUCUUGUUUAUGCAUUUGCAUUGUUCCCAGACGUGUAACUAGGCAAUUGUGCUGGGCCAUAAAACAGCAUGGCUGCUUAAAAGGAUUUGAAAGGGAAAAAAGAGGCAGGCUUGUCCAUUCAUUAACCUCAAAGGUGUCAAUCUCCCACAUACACAAUUACAACUUUAAGCCAGCAGAAUGAGGAGAAGAACCAUGGCUCCCACUGAUGAGGAGUUGGUGAAAGAGACAGUACAGAAGGGAGGGGAAAACCUAAAUAAAAAAAGGACAACAAGAGGGAAAGUGAAAUUAAUGACUCUUCACAUAUUGCCUGUGUUUCUUUUGUGGAGGCCAACAAAAGAGAAGCCGGUUCGAGAGGAUGUGGGGCUCAGGAGGCAGUGGAUAUCGGGCUUGUAAAUUCCACCAAACAUUAAUAACUCCAUUAAAUAGCAAUUACCAGCCAGAGGUGGUGGAACGGAGUAUCCCACUUCCACAUACAUUUGUCCAAGACUCAGCACUUCUCGCCCUUCUCCUUUUCUCUCUCACACUCUCUCUCUUUCCCCAUCUUUCUUUCUUUCUUCUAAAGGCAGAAAGGUCAAACCAUUACAUCGUCUGAAUGAAAUGUUCCUGACUUCCUCUGAUGUAUAGGCGACUGGCCUGGAAGCCACUGGUAUUGUUGAGGUGUGUAAUAAUUAAUGCAGCACUGAAAUGGCUCUCCUGGGAUGAACGGAGGGGCGGGAAUGCUGUCAAUUCCACACCCA
ensembl:lncRNA